rnacentral:rRNA from 1 species
AACACAUGCAAGUCGAGCGGAGCCAACCGAUAGAUCCCUUCGGGGUGACAUCGGGGAAGCUUAGCGGCGGACGGGUGAGUAACGCGUGAGUAACCUGCCCAUAAGAGGGGAAUAACACAGCGAAAGUUGUGCUAAUACCGCAUAAUAUGUUUUUACCGCAUGAUAGAAACAUCAAAGAUUUAUCGCUUAUGGAUGGACUCGCGUCUGAUUAGAUAGUUGGUGGGGUAACGGCCCACCAAGUCGACGAUCAGUAGCCGAACUGAGAGGUUGAUCGGCCACAUUGGGACUGAGACACGGCCCAGACUCCUACGGGAGGCAGCAGUGGGGAAUAUUGCGCAAUGGGGGCAACCCUGACGCAGCAACGCCGCGUGAAGGAUGAAGGUCUUCGGAUUGUAAACUUUUGUCUUUAGGGACGAAAAAGGACGGUACCUAAGGAGGAAGCCACGGCUAACUACGUGCCAGCCGCCGCCGUAAUAC